GUAGGUGGCAAGCGUUGUCCGGAAUUAUUGGGCAUAAAGCGCGCGCAGGCGGGUCCUUUAAGUCUGAUGUGAAAGCCCACGGGCUCAACCGUGGAGGGUCAUUGGAAACUGGGGGACUUGAGUACAGAAGAGGAAAGCGGAAUUCCAAGUGUAGCGGUGAAAUGCGUAGAGAUUUGGAGGAACACCAGUGGCGAAGGCGGCUUUCUGGUCUGUAACUGACGCUGAGGCGCGAAAGCGUGGGGAGCAAACAGGAUUAGAUACCCUGGUAGUCCACGCCGUAAACGAUGAGUGCUAAGUGUUAGGGGGUUUCCGCCCCUUAGUGCUGCAGCUAACGCAUUAAGCACUCCGCCUGGGGAGUACGGCCGCAAAGGCUG
rnacentral:rRNA from 1 species